rnacentral:rRNA from 1 species
GACGAACGCUGGCGGCGUGCUUAACACAUGCAAGUCGAACGGAAAGGCCCUGCUUUUGUGGGGUGCUCGAGUGGCGAACGGGUGAGUAACACGUGAGUAACCUGCCCUUGACUUUGGGAUAACUUCAGGAAACUGGGGCUAAUACCGUAUAGGAGCUCCUGCUGCAUGGUGGGGGUUGGAAAGUUUCGGCGGUUGGGGAUGGACUCGCGGCUUAUCAGCUUGUUGGUGGGGUAGUGGCUUACCAAGGCAUUGACGGGUAGCCGGCCUGUGAGGGUGACCGGCCACAUUGGGACUGAGAUACGGCCCAGACUCCUACGGGAGGCAGCAGUGGGGAAUAUUGCACAAUGGGCGGAAGCCUGAUGCAGCAACGCCGCGUGCGGGAUGACGGCCUUCGGGUUGUAAACCGCUUUCGCCUGUGACGAAGCGUGAGUGACGGUAAUGGGUAAAGAAGCACCGGCUAACUACGUG